rnacentral:lncRNA from 1 species
GCUAGAUCCUGUCAGUUUGGAUGCACAUAGGUGUAGUGUAAUUACAGAUAGGUUUUCCUAAAUAGCAACAAUAUUUAUUUUGUGAGUCUGCAAUGCCAAGGGAGCUAGGAAAAAUUUAGGGUGGCAGGUGUAGUGAUAGGUAUCACUGGAAUGUGAUUGUCAAACCUUGUCCCCGAAGAGGGAUUUACAGCUCUUCAAAGAGCUUUAGGAAUGGAUUUAGCAGGCUGGUAUGCUUUGUUCACCUGCUUGCUUACGUUUAUUUUUUCAGGUGUUUUUAUAUACAAGGAUUGGUGUUUAACUCUUAAAUGCACUUUGGGUUAUGUUUUUUUUAGCUUUAAAAGUAAUUAUAUGAAAGCAAGCAUUGUACUUGCUGGUUGGGAGUGGGGGGGGCAAGGGGAAGAUGGAGAGAGAGGGAAACUGAGCGCUAAGAAACGUUGUCAAUAAAUAUUUGUGAGCUGUUACAAAGAUGACCGUUAGGAAAUUCUCAGAUGAGCUUAGCAAGAAGUGCUCCCUGUUGUUCAGAGGACUGCAACUCUUUAAAAGCACUCUGGCCUCAGAAAGUAGCCAUAAUAGCCAAUACUGACAGAUGGUAUUAAAGAUACGGGCAGGAAACCAGCAUGGUUUUGAUCCUUUACUCCCAUUACAGGCUCUUUCAGUGCAUGCCUUGUGGGUUAAUUACUUGAGCUCUCACAGAAGGAAUCCUGGCUUCUGGUGUAGCAGCUUGUCGCAAGACAUGGACUGUGGAGGAACGUUUGGAUUCCCAUCUUUCCAGAAUGGACAACUCCUUCCUACUGGAAUGCAGAAGAUUAAGCAGUCAAGAGGAUGCAACCAACAAUCAGCAUUAAAAUAAGGACCACAUCUCCCACAGAUGGUUUCUUGUGACAUGAAAAGGGUGGAAAAGAACAGGGAACCGCUUAGCCAGAUAUUGGUGAGUGACUAAAACCAGACAUACAUAACUGUGAACUGAGCAUUUCUUUGGGCAAAAAUGACUAAAAGUAUACUUGGC